AGACCAUGAUGAGGACAUUUCCUCAAUAGCUCCUUGAAUCUUUCUCAAGUUUCAUAUAAGGAUUCCUAGUCCUCUUGUGAAUAUGUAUCGAUUUUAAUAAUUAAUUU
rnacentral:snoRNA from 2 species